rnacentral:rRNA from 1 species
UACGUAGGGGGCAAGCGUUGUCCGGAAUCAUUGGGCGUAAAGCGCGUGUAGGCGGCUCGAUAAGUCGGCUGUGAAAGUCCAAGGCUCAACCUUGGGAUGCCGGUGGAUACUGUCGAGCUCGAGUCCGGAAGAGGAGUGUGGAAUUCCUGGUGUAGCGGUGAAAUGCGCAGAUAUCAGGAGGAACACCAAUGGCGAAGGCAGCACUCUGGGACGUGACUGACGCUGAGACGCGAAAGCGUGGGGAGCAAACAGG